GGGGAUCCAAUCACGUCGGAGAACAUCAGAGUCAACAGAAUACUAAGGGACAUGGCAGACGAAGUGAGACAGAGAAGAGUUGAUCUCAGAGUAUUGAAGAGGAAUGAGGACUUUGAUGUGAAUAACUGGGAAACCAACAAGAAGAAGGAGAAUGUGAAAACGUCAAAGUCCUUGGUGAAGGAAGGCCUGGCUGCCAGAAAGACAGAGAGGAAGUUAAAGUCAUCUCUGACCACUGGUCCCUGGGAGGUGUUGGAGAGUCAUUGGAUG
ensembl:lncRNA